AAACGUAGGACGCAAGCGUUAUCCGGAAUUACUGGGCGUAAAGCGCGCGCAGGCGGGUCAGCAAGUCAUGUGUGAAAGCUCCCGGCUAAACUGGGAGAGGACGGAUGAAACUGCUGGUCUAGAGGGUGUUAGAGGAGUGUGGAAUUCCGCGUGUAGUGGUGAAAUGCGUAGAUAUGCGGAGGAACACCGGAGGCAAAGGCGGCACUCUGGGACACAACUGACGCUGAGGCGCGAAAGCAUGGGUAGCGAACGGGAUUAGAAACCCCAGUAGUCC
rnacentral:rRNA from 1 species